rnacentral:rRNA from 1 species
AUACGUAGGGGGCGAGCGUUGUCCGGAAUGAUUGGGCGUAAAGGGCGCGUAGGCGGCUUUGCAAGUCAGUAGUGGAAGUCCAUUUUUCAAGGAUGGAAGUGCUACAGAAACUGCGGAGCUUGAGUUAAGGAGAGGAAAGUGGAAUUCCUAGUGUAGCGGUGAAAUGCGUAGAUAUUAGGAGGAAUACCAGUGGCGAAGGCGACUUUCUGGACUUAUACUGACGCUGAGGAACGAAAGCGUGGGGAGCAAACAGGAUUAGAUUCCCUGGUAGUCCACGCCGUAAACGAUGAGUGCUAGGUGUUGGGGGUCAAACCUCGGUGCCGCAGCUAACGCAUUAAGCACUCCGCCUGGGGAGUACGUACGCAAGUAUGAAACUCAAAUGAAUUGACGGGG